AGAUUGAACGCUGGCGGCAGGCCUAACACAUGCAAGUCGAGCGGCAGCACGGGUACUUGUACCUGGUGGCGAGCGGCGGACGGGUGAGUAAUGCCUAGGAAUCUGCCUGGUAGUGGGGGAUAACGCUCGGAAACGGAUGCUAAUACCGCAUACGUCCUACGGGAGAAAGCAGGGGACCUUCGGGCCUUGCGCUAUCAGAUGAGCCUAGGUCGGAUUAGCUAGUUGGUGGGGUAAUGGCUCACCAAGGCGACGAUCCGUAACUGGUCUGAGAGGAUGAUCAGUCACACUGGAACUGAGACACGGUCCAGACCUCCGUACGGGAGCAGCAGGUAGGGAAUUAGUUAGGAACAAGGUCGGGACGAAAGCCUAGACUCCGAGCCAUCGCCGCGUGUGUAGAAGAAGGUCGUACGGAUUAG
rnacentral:rRNA from 1 species